CCUACGGGAGGCAGCAGUGGGGGAUAUUGCACAAUGUGGGGAACCCUGAUGCAGCGACGCCGCGUGGGUGAAGGAGUGCUUCGGCAUGUAAAGCCCUAUCGGCCGGGAAGAAGCAAGACGGUACCUGACUAAGAAGCCCCGGCUAACUACGUGCCAGCAGCCGCGGGAAUACGUAGGGGGCGAGCGUUAUACGGAUUCACUGGGUGUAACGGGAGCGUAGACGGGCAAGCAAGCCCGGUGGGAAAGCCCGGGGCCAAACCCCGGUACUGCCGUUGGAACUGCAUGGCUGGAGUGCGAGAGGGGGAGGCGGAAUUCGUGGUGUAGCGGUGAAAUGCGUAGAUAUCAGGAGGAACGCCGGCGGCGAAGGCGGCAUACUGGAGCGCGACUGACGCUGAGGCUCGAAAGCGUGGGGAGCGAACAGGAUUAGAUACCCGAGUAGUC
rnacentral:rRNA from 1 species